CCUACGGGAGGCAGCAGUGGGGAAUAUUGCACAAUGGGGGAAACCCUGAUGCAGCGACGCCGCGUGAGUGAAGAAGUAAUUCGUUAUGUAAAGCUCUAUCAGCAGGGAAGAAAAUGACAGUACCUAUAGAAUAAGCUCCGGCUAACUACGUGCCAGCAGCCGCGGUAAUACGUAGGGAGCGAGCGUUAUCCGGAUUUAUUGGGUGUAAAGGGUGCGUAGAUGGAUAAACAAGUUGGUUGUGAAAUCCCUCGGCUUAACUGAGGAAUUGCAACCAAAACUGUAGAUCUUGAGUACUGGAGGGGAAA
rnacentral:rRNA from 1 species